rnacentral:misc_RNA from 1 species
GAUGAAGAACGCAGCGAAUUGCGAUAAGUAAUGUGAAUUGCAGAUUUUCAGUGAAUCAUCGAAUCUUUGAACGCACCUUGCGCCCUUUGGCUAUUCCGAAGGGCAUGCCUGUUUGAGUAUCAUGAACAUCUCAACUCCUCGCGGUUUGCCCGUGACGAGCUUGGACUUUGGGGGUCUUGCCGGCCUGUGGGUCGGCUCCUCUCAAAUGAAUCAGCUUGCCGGUGUUUGGUGGCGUCACAGGUGUGAUAACUAUCUACGCUUGUGGUUUUCCGCCAGGUAACCUCCAGCAAUGGGGGUUCACUGGAGCUCACAAAUGUCUUUCCUCGGUGAGGACAGCUUUUUGAACGUUUGAUCUCAAAUCAGGUAGGACUACCCGCUGAACUUAAGCAUAUCAAUAAGCGGAGGA